UAGAAGGUACACCAUACCACAGCACCCGACAUAGCUGACCACCCACCAUCCUGACCCUCCUAGAAGGUACAACAUACCACAGCAUCCACUAUACUGACCCUCCUAGAAGGUACAACAUACCACAGCACCCACUAUACUGACCCUCCUAGAAGGUACAACAUACCACAGCACCCACUAUACUGACCAUCCACUAUACUGACCCUCCUAGAAGGUACAACAUACCACAGCACCCACUAUACUGACCCUCCUAGAAGGUACAACAUACCACAGCACCCACUAUACUGACCCUCCACUAUACUGACCCUCCUAGAAGGUACAACAUACCACAGCACCCACUAUACUGACCAUUAACUAUACUGACCCUCCUAGAAGGUACAACAUACCACAGCACCCACUAUACUGACCCUCCUAGAAGGUACAACAUACCACAGCACCCACUAUACUGAUCCUCCUAGAAGGUACAACAUACCACAGCACCCACUAUACUGAUCCUCCUAGAAGGUACACCAUACCACAGCACCCACUAUACUGACCCUCCU
ensembl:lncRNA